GUACUGAUGAAGUGCUAGACAGAAAAAGGGGUCUUCAUGGGGCAAGGGAAUGGCAACAGUUAGAUUACUGUUGAAUGACAUCAGACUGAGGGCCCCAGACUUUAGUUCUCAAGUCCAGGAUAAACUGCAUUUUUGAACAGAGAAAUAAAUAUCUUGUUUUCAAGCAACCAAUAAGUUCCAGCUUGUAUCGUUCUACCAAAGGUCAUCACACAGAUCAGAGACCCACUUGCUGCAGCCCUUAGAUGCAUCUUUAAAAACUGGCUGUCAAAAGGUUGCCUGCUCGCCCAUCAGACAAUGAGAGUAAAAAGGAAGAGAAAAAAUGUUGGAUCUCCCUCUGACGAGCUUCCACCCAUUAUUCAUCCUGCCCUCAAGUGCUUCAGAGAACAAACUGGGUAAUUCUGAAAAUUACUCCUCUUUAUAGCAAUAAAGCAUUAUAUCCUGGA